GAUUACUUCAGCCCAGUAUGUCAGUGUCUUGUUUAUUUAAUGUGGUGAUUUUUUAUUUCCAGAUCGGUUGUGACGAAUCAGUUGGCUGCCUGUGUUAAUAUGUGUUCCAAAGAUCCUUUCCAUUUAUAAAUGGGAAGGUGAAAUACAGGAAGACAGCGAACUUCUUUUGCUCAUGAAAACCAGAACAUCCCUUGUUGAUGAACUAAUUGCAUAUGUGAAAGCUAAUCAUCCAUAUAAAGUUUGUGAAGUAAUUACAACCACGAUUGACAAAGGAAAUCCAGACUAUCUCUCAUGGAUUUCUGAUGUUGUACCUGAAAGAAAAUAAAGGCAUCCUGCUCAAGGGCUCGUGCAAGGAAAAAAAUCUAAAGUAUUUUAAAUACACAACGAAUUUGUUAAAUUCGUUCUUUCCCAACAAAGUGAAUCACCUGCUAUUCUAAAUGUUAUACUUUUUUAUAUUCUUGAGUUCGAAUCAAACAUCCUCUAUCUCCUUUACAAAUGUCCCAAUUUAUCAGCUUUCAAGUUUUUGUACAUGUGUGUGCUUCUGAAGUAAGUACAUGAAGUAGAAUUCUUUAUGGCGACUGCUCUCAAUAGAGUGGAGGCUUGGGAGCAAUGCCUGAGCAAAGAUUCUAAAAAUUAAGUGUAGAAUGCGAGUGCAUUGUGUAUUCUCUAACAAGCUCUGAAAGCAGAAUUUGUUCCUCUCUUUCAUUAUGAUAAUUAAAACGAUUUAUUUUGAAUUUUUUUUAAAAAUAUCAUUCUCUGGUUGCGUAUGGAAUGAUGUAAUUACUCAAUAAAACUUUGUUCGACUCACAACAUUUUUUCUCAGUUAUUUAUUCUCACAGGACAGGUGUCUUUUGGGUUUUUGAUAGCGAACUUUUUGACCCAUUUCCCUCAGGUAAAAUUUUGGGCACUCUUUGCGGAAAGUGUUCUCGGUCGAUAUGGCGCAAAAACGCUGACACUGAGUCUGUAAACGGAGCGUCAUUUUGAAUUUCGCGCGCUUGAAACUGAAGUUCACCACUCGUGGAGCGAAGAGAAUGAGCGGUAUAUAGCAUAGAGCACUCGGGGCCGAAUUUUGUCGGCUCUUUCCCUAAGAGGUGGAACGUCUAUUGUCUAUCUGAGUUCAAACCGCACCACCUGCCAAUCAGAAGCGCUAAGCUGGACCUAAGCAGACCGCAGUCGAAACCAGUCCUGAGAAUAUUUAAGUACGGUAGAAGGACCAACAAGAUUCAAGCCCUUGCAUUCUGCAGUCCUGCACUCACGAAGCGAAGUCUCGCAAUGAAUAUAAUGCAACAAUGAAAAUAUAAAAAUGAGUACUUAGGUAAAUCGAUUGCUGAGUUUCAAAGGCUCAUUCGAAAUUUUAUCAAGCGAAUAUUCCCAUACAUUUUUGCAGAGAAGAUCUAUAGAGCAGUCUUGAGAGGACACAAAAAAUCACGCGGAAGUGGAAGCCCUUUCCAUA
rnacentral:lncRNA from 1 species